rnacentral:tRNA from 1 species
GCACCGCUGGUGUAGUGACAUCAUGUGAGAUUCCCAUUCUUGCGACCUGGGUUCGUUUCCCAGGCGGCGCA